GCCCACAUAGCUUAACC
rnacentral:tRNA from 5 species